rnacentral:lncRNA from 1 species
GGAGAAGUUUGAGGGAUUCUCCAGUUGUGUCUUCCUCUGUACAGAAUUGGCCCGCAAUUUCACUUGUAUGUACCUUGUCUGCAUGCUGGAUAUUAUUGGUGAGUCAUAAAGCCUCGUGGGAAGGAGAGCAUACACAUCAGUUUGUAUUUGCUGGAGAACUUCUGGUCCACUCAAAAUGGGUGGUCUGACCUGUAUUUGGUAAGCAAGUUGAAGUAGCACACUGAGAACUGAUAGGUGCUGUUUUCCCAAUCCCCAAACAGGC